AACUCUGAAACACAGAAGCCAGAGGAGCCCUUUACAGUCAAUAAUUACAACCUGAACGUGAGGAAACUCAAGCACACAGGGCUAUCUUUGCAUGUUAAGGAGCUCUGAGGGUUGCUGACAUUGUUUCUAAGCAGUGGUGAGAUUCUUCAGAAUCACCCGAGAUUGAUGGCAUACUCCAUGCAUUUUGUUCUUCGGAAAUUGGUUUUUCAGGUCUGCUAGGGCAUAAGUGGCAUAGGAUUUUAAAUUAACCAGGCAACUCAAUUCUCUAAAGAUAUUACAUGAGUAUAAAAUUACCAAACCCAAGAAGAAAUGCAUUAAGUCACCUAGAAAAACCUUUUACAAAGUUCUGUUUAUACUUCUCAUUUCCCUUUCCAUGUCUGUGUAUGAAAAUUUGCAUGUAUAGGUCUACUUGUUUUGAAGGAAGAUGACUGUACUUUUCACUGUACUUUUAUUUUUAAUGGGGACUAAGGCUAAAAAACACCUACAUUAAGUCCCAAGUUCUAGAGACUAGACUAAGAUUAACUGACACAGUGAACCCUAGCACUAAACAAAAUUCAAUGUAGUCUUUGAUUAUUAUUUUUUUCUUUAUGGAGGGGCUCAUGGUCUACAGUCAACAGUAAAAUCCAGUAGCUGGUCCAUGUGUAACAUUCCCCAGUUUUCCACAUAACACUCUAGCCCCCACCAAGGUCCUCUACCACCCUCAUGUUCCAGGACCUUAACACUCUCCACCCACUCCCUACCCCCAUCCCUGAGCCCUUUACUUUGGUGCAAUACAUGACUAGACUUUGAUUAUUAAAUAUAAUCUUUCUUGUCUCUCCAUUCUCUCCUUGGAAACUAGAUCCUCACAAGACAAUGCACCCGAUCUCAACCCCCAUUUUCUGAGCUUAUUUUUUUAUUUUCUCCUUACUGGCUUCCUUCCCAACUAUCAUCUAAUUUAAGGUGGAAGGUGCCUCAGCUGUCAUUGUGAAUAGCAUCUAAUUCUGCAGAGAAGCAACAAAGUCUUAAUAAUCAUUAUUCUUCUAGACAACAUGAAUUCUCUGGCUUUAGCUAUCAGUGGUGUCAACAACCAAAUUCUUUAUGGCAAGAAAUUUAAAAAACAGUUCGAUUUCCAGCUAUAGCCCCUCCCACCAUUUCUCUCAUUGAGAUAAAUACAUUUUUACUGAGUGCUUUUGCUUGUUUUUAAGGUAAAAUCUUAGAGGAAAUACUCAAGACAUGAGAGCUAAGUAGAGUUGGUGGUGGGACAGAGACAAGAUGGUGGACUCAGGUGUUUGGAGAUUGUGAAGGGGUUGAUGCAAAAGACUUUCUUUCUUUGGUUAACAUAGAGAAAUUGAGAGGAAAGGGGAGAUAGAGAGGGAGAGAGACAGUGAGACAUGGGCAUCGCUGCUUCUCUGCUUGUGAAACAUCUACCCUAUAGGUAAGGACCCGGCACUUCAGUUUAGGUCCUUACGCAUGGUAAUGUGUGCUCUACUUAUCGGGUGUGCCACAGCGAGUCCAGUCUUUUUUUUUUUUUUUUGUUAAACGCAGUUCUGGAAAUGCACCCUGGUCUUUGUACAUGUGUGCUGUUACUCAGUGGAGGAUGUGACCAAUUUUUUUCAUUCAUCCAUUCAUUCUUUCUUUUUUGGAUGAGAGAAAGAGGCACUCCUCCAGCAUGCCCAGGGCCAGGGCCCAAGCCCAGGACUACACACAGCCUGGUGUGUGUUUUGUGAGCCACCAGGUUCCAGAUGCUACCAUGAUGCCAACCGGACUUCCCUGGACAGACAACCCCACCAAUGUGUCCUGGAGCUCCACUUCCCCAGAGCCCUGCCCCACUAGAGAAAGAGAGAGACAGGCUGGGAGUAUGGAUAGACCUGUCAACACUCAUGUUCAGCAGGGAAGCAACCAAAGAAGCCAGACUUUCAAUC